AAAGUUGAAAUAAAUUUAUUAUAUUCAGUUUCGACCUGAAAUUCUAGUUAUUUUACUAACUCAUCUUUA
rnacentral:tRNA from 1 species